rnacentral:misc_RNA from 1 species
GGCAAUGCCAUUCGAUCAGUGUUUGCAAUCUUAGACAGGAAAAGUGAGAUUGAUCCAAAUAACUCAUGGGGAUUAGACAUUAAAAAGGAGAUAAAGGGUCGUGUAGAUUUCAAAAAUGUUUUCUUCGCAUAUCCAACAAGACCUGAUCAGAUGAUCUUCUGUGGCCUGAACCUUAAAAUUGAUGCAGGAAAGACUCUGGCACUAGUAGGGCCAAGUGGUUCCGGAAAAUCUACUAUCAUUGCCCUUAUAGAGAGAUUCUAUGAUCCAUUGAAAGGAUCAAUUUUAAUCGAUGGACAGGACAUAAAGAACUACAAUUUGAAGAUGCUUAGAUCUCAUAUUGCAUUAGUCAGCCAGGAACCAACCCUGUUUGCUGGAACUAUCAAGGAAAACAUCACUUAUGGUAAAGAGGAUGUCCGAGAAUCUGAAAUAAGGACGGCUGCAGUUCUUGCAAAUGCACAUGAAUUUAUCAGUGGAAUGAAAGAUGGAUACGACACAUACUGUGGAGAAAGAGGAGCUCAGCUAUCAGGAGGUCAAAAACAAAGGAUAGCACUCGCUCGUGCCAUCAUCAAGAACCCCUCAAUCCUUCUGUUAGAUGAAGCUACUAGUGCACUCGACAGUGUCUCAGCAAGCCUAGUUCAAGAGGCACUUGAGAAGAUGAUGGUUGGCAGGACAUGCAUAGUUGUUGCCCACAGGCUAUCAACCAUACAGAAAUCCAACAACAUUGCAGUUGUCAAAAAUGGUAAGAUUGUAGAGGAGGGCUCGCAUAACGAACUUAUCUCAUUAGGUCGCGGUGGAGUAUACUAUUCUCUGAUAAAAGGGCAAGGCAGCAGCUCCCCUUAUCGCUGAAUCAGAAUGUUUGUGAAUGAGAAUCAAUGAUGCCACAAACAGUAUCUACCCUAUAAGUUUGGGCCCUAGCUUUGUAGAUUCAAGUUUGGCUUUUACCUGAAGAACAAUAAACUACUCGAGCUUGGUGAACUCAUGACACGGGUCUUGGUCGUGGUUUACUUGAAAGUUUAGUGGAUGGUGUUUAUGAAGGCUCCGAUUGUCAAUUUUGUAUUCAUGUUUUGUGUAUAUCUACAAAGCUUAUGGACAGUUGAAAACACUGAAUUACAUUGGGAUUUAGAUCACCAUAAGAAAAUGAAAUAUCCUGCUUUGCUGUCUUGCAUU